UUUUCUGAGAGUUUGAUUCUGGCUCAGAACGAACGCUGGCAGCGUGGAUUAGGCAUGCAAGUCGAACGGGAUCGGUUGGAUAGCAAUAUUCGGCCGUGAGAGUGGCGGAUUGGGGAGGAGCACGUGAGCAACCUGCCCUGGAGAUGUGGAAAACUUCGGGAAACUGAGGCUAAUACAGAAUGUGGCGCCUUCCGGCAUCGGGAGAGCGCUGAAGGGGGCCGCAAGGCUCCCGCUCCGGGAUGGGCUCGCGCACCAUCGGCUAGUUGGCGGGGUAACGGCCCACCAAGGCUUACGGUUAGCUGGUCUGAGAGGAUGACCAGCCCCACUGGGACUGAGAUACUGCCCAGACUCCUACGGGAGGCUGCAGUCGAGGAUCAUUCGCAAUGGACGAAAGUCUGACGAUGCGACGCUGCGUGGAGGAUGAAGGCCUUCGGGUCGUAAACUCCUGUCAUGAGGGAAAAGGAGACCCUGCCCAACACGCAGGGGAUUUGAUGGUACCUCAAGAGGAAGGGACGGCUAACUCUG
rnacentral:rRNA from 1 species